AUACAGUGCAUCAGAAGGGACAGUACACACCAUCUUUCAUUCCCACCAUUCUUUGUGAAGAGGAAUCCAAAUGUUCUUUGGCCUGAUCGAGUUCUUAUGGGUGCCUUGAGCCAUCCUAGGAGGCAUCCCAAGUAACAACAUUAAGAACGUAUAAAUGUUUGAACUGUGCAGACUUCUUGUUGUGAGAAAAAAAGCCUGCAGCCAAUGAGAUAGAAAUGGAGAGAAGGGCAAUAGCAGCUUGCACAUGUCAAGGAUCUGCAGCGCAUGAAACCCCUUAAACUGAAGAUGAUGUUCCUGAAGCCUAGAGAUGUCAGCACUCGCAGUCAGCCGCUUUAUCAUCCAUUGCUCCAUUAACCUCAUCCACCUGGUCAACACAAUUCAAACAUACCAGAUACAGACUCAGUUAAAACAGAUAUGGGUGCAAGUCAUGACACUUUUACAGAUUAAAGAUGUCCGAGAUUCACGAUGAAUGCUGUUUGAAGAAGAAUGAACAGAAUCACAUUUUAAUUUAAUCUCACUGCCAAUGUGGACUUAAAGAGGACGGGCUCUGUUAUGACAACUGUAUUUUUAAGUAACAGAGAUAAGGGUGUUAUUGGAAUCAUUUCAAUAAAAUA